AACCUGUCUUUUAACCGAUUCUCCACGAUAAUUUUCACUUUUAUUUAAAUCUUAUAUACCUCCAUCUAAAGGAUUAACAAUUAUAUUCUCCCCCUGACAGAUUUCUAAUAAGUUAGGUAAAGGUGUAGACAAUAUAAAAGAUAAGAUGGGUUACAAUAAAUUUUAUUUAAGGAUUAUAAGCUAAAGCUUAUUAUAAAAAAGGAUUUAUUAGUAAUUUUAAAAUAAUAUUCUAAAAUGAACCAGAUAAACAAUGUGCACACAUCGCCCGUCGUUCUU
rnacentral:rRNA from 1 species